AGCAGCAAUGCCUCUGGCUCAAAGACGAUGCAUUUGGGUACAACUGGCUGCCUGCAGGGUGAACCUCACCCUUCAGGCCUCGUCACAGCAGAGGAGUGGCUCAGGCACCAGGGCCCAGGCGCCGGGCACACCUGCUACAUUCCUCCAACUCCCAGGUUGUUCCACUUAACGGCAGGUGUUACCCAGUAUUGCCUCUGCUUCAUUCCGUUCCUUUCUUCUCUGCAUUUGGCUUGGUGCCCCUGAAGGUCACUCUGUUGUCCAGCUAAAGAUGGUGAAUGUUCCCUCUCCAGGCAGAAGCAGGCCAUUGGGGCUUGUUUUCAUUUUCUUUCCAAUUUAAAAGAAUGUAUUCAACAUUCCAUCUUUAGAAAAUGUGAUAACCAUCAAGUCUUUGCAUGAGAAAGGUAAGAGGGAAGUUAAUCUAUAAUGAAGAUCAACUGUGAAGAGGGAAGGGGUCGUCCCUGCCUCCCUUUAGUCAUUUACAUUUUAAAAAACAAUGCAGGUAAGGAAGAAGUCUAAUCUAUAAUGAGAGAAACAACAGUUACACCUGCCCGGGUUACAGAUGCCUCUCACAUGACUCAGGCACUAUAGUCAUAUUUCUUUAAAACUCAAAAUAAUUUGGAGUCCCCACAGCCUAGAUUUUAUUUUCACAUCUGCAAGUCAUUGAGAACUACUCCUGUCUCCUUGUCCCUCCCUAUACCAUUUCCUCCCCCUUCUCUGAGUUCUUUUUCCCAGUCUCCUUUGCUGGGCACCUCACAGCCCCCACUCAUACUUACAUGCUGAAGUCAUCCAGGAUUUGCUUCCAGAUUCAUUGCUUCUAUUUCUGAACCCACCUGUUCCUUUUAACCAUUUGCCUGGUUUAAUUCCCAUUGCCUUUCCCCUUGUAUGUAAAAAUUGAAGUAUGACUUACUUGCCUUAAAGUGCACACUUCUUAAAUAUAUAUGUGAUGAAUUUUUACCUAUAUGUACACCUAUGUAGCUGCCAGUUAAACCAAGGUUAGAGAAUUUCCAGCUUCCAGAAAUGCUCCUGCAUGACCAUCUCAGCCAGUACCCCACAACGAAGCCUCGAGUCUGACCUCCACCAUCAUAGGUUAAUUUUGUUUACUUUUGGACUUCAUAUAAAUGGAAUCAUACCGUGUGUACUCUUCUGUCUUUAAUUUGUUUCAUUGAACAUUAUGUCUAUGAGAUUCACACAUGUAUCAGUAGCUUAUUCUUCUUACUUGGAGUGAUUUCAGAUGCUCGCUACUGAUAGCAUUGUCUCAUGAGCAUGAGGCAGUGGGGGAAGAGGAAAAUUACAGAUAAAAAUAUAAAUAACACCAAAUCUGCUGACUAUAACGGUUUGAGAAUUCCAAGGGAGUUUGAGAAUUUUGAGACUGUCUCAGGCAGUGAGUCUUUGGUGGUUAAAGUAAAGCCAGAACUGUUUCCAGCCACAUGACCCUUUGAGUCCAAUGGUACUUUAGAGUUACGGGAAGUUGUUUACCUGGGAGACGAUAAUGUCCACAUCUCAGUGUCCAGUGCCCUGGUGUUGAACACCUGGACACCUAGACUAGUACUUUCUAUUUUGAGCAAAGAUGGGACCUCGUGCUCCUGAGACCUUUAAAUUUUUGUGAGGAGCCAGUGGAUAUGUCAGUGCACCAGGCAUUGAGACUACAUGAAUACUAUGUCUUGCAAAUGUAUUUAUUGCCACUUUUGUGGUCUGCAUAGAUGCUCUUCUGAUUAAUAAAUAUAAAAGUACUAGAUGUAUCAUCGACUCCAUUGUUUUCUGCCAUUUAGAUAGCUUUUUAAAAAAUGAAGCAAAAGGAAAAGUAUGAUGACAUUCAUGUAGAAGUGCUUUGGAAAUUUUCUGGUAUUAAGAUAUGUUCUUUCAUACUUAGAAAGGUUAGAAAUCAUCUCGGUUUAUUGUACCCAGAAAGCGUUUAGGGCUCAAAAUGUGCUCGUUGAAUGUUGAACAAACAAGGAAAUGGGGCUCCUGGGAGAGUAAGUGACUAGACAAAGGUCUCACUGCAGUUAAUGGAAAAACUGCACAGGAAGGCAGGUCUCAUGGCAUCAAGAAAGUCUAAAUUUUUACCCCUAAGGUUUUGCAUAGAUAACGGCUCCUGGGAACCAUCUUCUACCCUCCUUGUGUGUCUGGGUCUUUCUAAUUAGGCUUUCUCCCUUGUGUACCAAAUUCUCCCACAAAUCACUAAAGAUUUUAUAGGCCUUAAAUUGAAAACAAGAUGAUAUCAUUUUGUCAUAGUGCACAAGUUAGUAAUAAAAUAGUGUGAUUGCUUUUUAGUGAUUUGAUUUGAGAAGUUUGUAGUUAUUUGUGCCCAGACAGGUUAACCAGUAACUGCUUAGCCACGUUGUCUGCAUUCAGUUCACUCUUUAGAAGGAGCAGCCUUUGACUAACCUCUCCCCAUUUCCCCCAUCUCCAGCCUCUGGCGGCCACUCUUCCACUUUAUUUCUAUGAGUUUGACUUUUUUAGAUUCCACAUAGAAGCAAGAUCAUACCGUAUUUGUCUUUCUCUGUCUGACUUAUUUCACUUGGCAUCAUGUCUUCCAGGUUCAUCCAAGUUGUCGCAAAUGGCAAGAUUUGCUUCUUUUUGGCUAAAUAAUAUACAAUUAUAUAUAUACACACACACAAACACACAUAUACAUGUAUUUCACAAUUUCUUUAUGUAUUCAUGUCAAUGGACACUUAUGGUGGUUAUACCUUGGUUAUUGUGAACAGUACUCCAAUGAAUAACGGAGUGCAGCUAUCUCUUUGAGCUAUUGAUUUCAUUCUUUCUCAACACCACACACACACACACACACACACACACACACACACACACACACACACACACACUGGUAAGUAGAUGAGGUGAUGGAUGUAUGAACAAAAUUGACUGUGGUCAUUUUUUCACAAUAUAUACAUAUAUCAAAUCCUAAUAUUGUACAUCUUAAACUGAUAGAGUUUUGUCAGUUAGUUAUACCUCAAUAAAGCUGGAGAAAAUAAAUAAAAGGAACAUCCUGCUGGCUGUCUCCGUGGGACAGCCUGGCCCAGCAGAGCCACUCUCCAGACACUGCACAUGCGUGUGUCCCUGUAAGAAGCCGCUGCUGUUCCUUCCUGAACAGUGAAGCUGGUCCCUGUGAGAUGUUGCUAUCCUUGGGGGAAUACCUCAAGUGCCUUCUGCAAUGUUCAAAGGCUUCUGCGACAACCUCCAACCCACCUCUAGCCCUCCAAAGAUUGUGCUGGACUCUGCCUGGAAGGGUGAGUGAGGUGCCCAUUUUUUCUCUUGCCCAAAGACCCUCCCCUUCUUCCAUGUGUGCCUGAAGCUGUCUUGAGGCACCAGAGAGCCCCUGUCCGUUUUUUACUCAUUUCUGCUAAGCCUGUGUUCACAGAGCGAGGUAAACCCCGCUGGAGAAAUAGAAUCUGCUUUCAGCUUCAUCUGCAGAACUAGGUCACUUUAGUCUUUUGCUAACCAGAUUACCAAUAAAAAUUGCCUGGAAAAAGAUGGAGAAUGAGGUUCAAAAAUGAAAACAAACAAAAUGAAACAACAUUAAGACAAAAGAUAAAUCUGUGAUAAUUUCUUGAGUAUAACAUGUUUCUAUUUCUGCUUCUGUGGUUCAGAUAUUAAAGACUUAAAGUAAAUCUCUUUGUUGUAAGAUUAAAGAGAAUUCCCCAUAUUAAAUAAAAUUAAAAGCUUGGAUUAAAGGAAGCAACACUAUCAGCUAGUUUCUUCCAUUGGUUGCAUCAUCGACAUCUUUGAACCCCAGGAUUUAAGAUGGAGCAACUUCCAAAAACUCUUGUCCUUUCAAGCCAUUUCUGAGGUGACACUGAGGCUACUGGGGAAUCUGUUUGGCCAGUGGAGGGCACUUCAGUCUCUUGCUCUGCGUGUAAUCACUUUGCUUUUCACACAUGACCUGGCAGAGCUGAUGCAACUCUAGUGCCUCACACAAACAGUUCCAUUUGCAACCUACUGGAUUGUGUCAUUCAUCUCUUUUUGCUCUUGCAUUUCCUUCUAAUAUUGAAGGUAGACUUGCUGGCUUGGAAACCUGACAUCUGUGCUUUGAAGUCUAGGAGGAUGAAAAAGUCUUGAAGCCAGGACAAGAUGGCCCGCAAAGGGAUCAGGUUUUAUUCUGACCAAAAUAAAGACUUUUUAAAGACUUUUGAAGCCUUGUUUAUGCUAUCAGGGCUCCAAUUUAAAAGAUGUCACUGUCAGUAGAUGUCUUCUGAUUUUGAGAAGCACACGUGAUGAGUUCUGGGUCACUCACCUUCCCACGGCGUCCUCGGUGUUCCCAGCCUCACUGUUGCUCUCAGCCAGCCUCAACCAAAACCACUUCCUCUGGAAGCCUGCCCCUUCCCCCACUCCCAUUUGCGAGUCUUCCCAGCUGCCCUUUUCUAGUGCUUCAACCACGGUCCCCCACCUGCCUCUCCCUCUACCUGCUCCCUUAAUAGCUCCACCUUGCCCCUCCUCUUAAGGGUGAGCAGUAGCUACAGGUAGAGAAAUACUUAACGUCAUGCUUUUAUUUUUGGACUCCCCAGUAGACCUGAGUGCUUUAUUCAAGGAGGACAUCAGCAUUGAUUUUCCCUCUCAGCAAAGUGCUUUAAAGGUGAAAGUGCCUUUUCACAGAGCUGGGGCCACCUUGCAUCAUAGCCUUGGAGCCAUUUCUGUGUGGCAGAGAGAAGGCUACCCCCUCCUUCCCCACUUCCCGUCUCCACUGACAGCCUUCUCUUUGAAGCUGAUGUGUGCAUCUGACUUUCUGCAACCCUGAACUUUCAGCAUUGUGUUUUUCGGCUAGCCAUUCUACAGCUUGAUCAUCUGAAUGCAGAUAUGCAUAGAGGUUCUGCUCGUGACCAUGUGACCCACCUUUGUAUCCUGCAAGAGCAAUGGGAUUGGUGUGGAGGGUGAGAGCUGGAGCUCUGGAGUCAAUAUGCCUAGAGGGAAUUGUGGAUUACUAUCAUGUAAUCUUCAGCAAGCUAAUUAAUGGCUCUGUGCCUUAGUUUCCUCCUCUGCAAAAUGAAGGUAGUAACGGAAGCUACUCAUGGGAUCAUUAAAAGAAUUCUAUGAGACAGUACUUAUUAUAAAUUUAAAGUGGUUUGUGACAUAUAGUAAAUGGUCAAAAAAUGUUAGCUAGUAGUCAAAAUAGAAGUAGGGUGAGAUUUAAUUACAUUUAUAAAAAUCACUUAAGCCUGCAAAUGCCCAGUGCACCUGAGGGAGUGACAGAAUCAUCGUUGUCCAAAUCUAGUUCCUACUUGUCCCAAGCAAGAAAAUGUCAGGGCCAACAGCUCCGUCCUUCCUUCCUCCAUCUGUGAGGUAGCAAUGUGAAUGCCUCUCUUCCUUUUUCUCUAGGUACCCAUAGUAGGAGAGACAAUGUAUUCUACACCAGGACUUCUAAAAUGUUCAUGUGCAUAGAACUCACUUGGAAAUCUUAGACAAAUAUGGAUUCUGAUUUAGUAGUUCUGGGCUGGGGCCUGAGAGUCUACAUUUCUUUUCUUUCUUUUCUUUUUUUCUUUUUGAGAUGGAGUUUUGCUCAUUUUUCCCAGGCUGGAUUGCAAUGGCAUGAUCUCAGCUCACUGCAACCUCUGCCUCCGUAGUUCAAGUGAUUCUCUUACCUCAGCCUCCCAAGUAGCUGGGAUUACAGGCAUGCACCACCACGCCAGGCUAAUUUUUUGUAUUUUUAGUACAGAUGGGGUUUCACCAUGUUGGUCAGCUGGUCUUGAACUUCAGACCUCAGGUGAUCCACCCGCCUCGGCCUCCUAAAGUGCUGGUAUUACAGGCGUGAGCCACCAUGCCUGGCUGAGAUUCUGCAUUUCUUUCAAGGUCACAAGUGCUGCUGUUGCUUCUGGUCUGGGCACCACAUUUUGAGUAGCAAAGAUCUAUACGAUGAUCUGACCUGGAGGCAGGAGCCCAUCUGGGUGAAUAUUAGGUGGAAAAGAACACCAGGAGUGGCUCAGCUGCUAGGGCUCAGAAUGGUGUUUCAGGCUCCUGUGUGGUUAUACCCCAGAAAUGCAAAUGGACUCUUACUAAAAGGUUCUGAAAUGGCCACAAAUAUUUGAAAACCCUGAGGCCAAGGCCGUCUUAUUUUGGGCUCAGUCUUUAUGUAUUUUUAUUUUAAAUAUUUAUUUUAUAGAUCUAUCUAUCUAUGUAUCUAGCUAUCUAGCUAGCUAGCUAUAUCUGUGGUCCCCUACCCAGAGAUGGACUCAGUACACAAGGGCCAUUUUCCACACCCCUGAUUGCAGUCACAACCAAUUAGCAGGACCCAAGGACCCAUUCCCUAGUCCCUAUAUAUAUGUACACACACACGCACACACACUCACACACACACUUUUUUUUCAAGAGAAUCAUAGUAAACUUUAAAAAGGGACUCAAACAUGCAUUUUGAAAGCAAAGGUAGUCACAGUAAAUGCAGUAUAUUUUUGAAAAAAUGAUUCAGAUAUACAUUUUAAAAGAAAAGUCACAAUAUUUUCAGCAUUUUAAAGUUUUAGGAGUACAUGACAUAAAGUUCUUGUGACUCUGGAGCCCUACUUUCCUCCUUAUCCUCCCUUCUGUGUAUGUACAAAUCACACAUUCAUAUCCAUAUUUCAUUUGGCUAAAAUGAUAAGUUUCUAAGCUUGUAAUUCUUCACUGUUAUUGUAAGGGGAACUUGAGGGAGGUGGUCAAAGUGAGGGGCAGGGAAGGAGCCCUUCCCGGUGAGCAGCAGCAAACUACCACUGGAGCAAGGUCAAGACUGUCUUGAUUUGCAGCUAGUUCCAUCAGCCCAGAGUUUUUCAGAGCACACCAGCAGCUCUGAAGUUUCCUAUCCUGUGUUUUAAUGUGGUUUUUUGAGAUUUAAUUUUGAUGAAUCAGAUCCUCAGGGGCAUACAUUUUUAUAUUCUAGGCUAAAGCUGCCACAGGGAGGGAAACGUAGGGAUUCUUUUUUAGAUUAAGUGGUAUCUGUCAUUUGCAGAUACUCAUCUUUGCAGAUGCCCAUCUUUGAUGGCACUUUUUAUGUAGGUAAGUUUUGUGGUCCAUGGGUCUCUGGUUCAUAGUACAUGGCUGACUCAGAAGAGAGACUCUAUCCACAAAGGUGUAAUCACUUGACAGCCUCUUUGUGCCUGCUGCACAGACAAAACCAAUUCACUGAGACCACAGUAUUGCAGUAAAGAAAGAGUUUAAUUAAUGCUAGGCUAAACACAUGGAAGAUGGAGUUAUUACUCAAAUCAGUCUUCCCAAAGGCUUGGAGGUUAGGCUUUUUCAAGGCAGGGGACUAGGGAAUGGGUCCACAUGAUUGGUUGGGGAUGCAGUCAUAGGGUGUGGAAAAUGGUCCGUGUGCUGAGUAUGCCUCUGGGUAGGUUUAGGGGGUGCAGAAGAUCAGUUGAGUCAUAAGCCAUGAGUCUAGGUGGGAUUACUGAGUUUCCAGAAUGCAAAGGUCUGAAAAGCAUCUCAAAAGACCAAUCUCAGGUUCUAUAAUAGUAAUGUUAUCUAUAGGAACAAUUGGAGAAGCCAAAAAUCUUGUAACCUCUGGCCACAUGACUCCUAAGCGGUAGGAGGUUAUAGAAACUAUAUCUACAUUUUAGUGGAGUUCAGGCUCCUCCCAUAAUCCUAAUCUCAUGGCCUUUCACCAGGUUUUUGCACUGAGCAAGGGAAGAAUUAGUUUUAGGGAGGAACUGUUCUCAUCCUUGCUUCCAAGUUAAACUAUAAACUAAAUUCCUCCCAUGGUUAGCUUGGCCUAUGCCCAGGAAUAAGCAAAGACAGUCAGCCUGUGAGGCUAGAAGCAAAAUGGAGUCAGCCCUGUUAGACUUCUCUCACUGUCAUAAUCUUUACAAAAGAGGUUUCAAGGUUGCCAGGAGAGUUUCACAGGACCUGGUCCGUUUGGAUGUAAGACACCUCUUUCUUCAGACUUCCUCCAUGUGGACCCAUUCUGCUGCUGGACUGGGUAUGUUGAUGUGAAAUUUGCUGUUGACCUGGCAGUCUACAUUCAUGCUGCAGAAGGACAGUCGUAGCAAUGUAUUUCCUGAGUAUUGGAAGAAACAGCCAAAAACGAAUUGACUUCACCUUGAGAUGAACCCCAUACCCUUGAACCUGUAGACGUAUAUUCAUGAAAACAAAUGGAAGGACUUUGGGCACUUGACCUCUAUUUUGUUACAAUUUAUAUUAUUAGCAGCAGAGAUUUAGGCCAGGAGACUGGAUUCUUGUUUGUGACCUUGAUAGAACGUAUUAACUUUAUUUAUGUUGUAAUGUCAAUGAUUCUUUGACUUUAGGAGAAGGAAGUCCACUUCCUUGAAUGUAAGUUAUACAUUUUAUUUUAUUUUUCUGUCAACUGGGAGAAGUCCACCGCUCUACUAGGCUGAUAAGCUCUUACCAUAUGUACAUGUCUUUCCUUUUAUAUGUUUAAAUCUUUGAAUUUUAUAGAAUACUAAGAAUUGAAACUUUAUGCACUUUUGAACCUUUGAAACCUUUCUUUCUGCUAGGACCAUAUGACACUUAAAUAUAUCUAAAUUAUAUCUUAUUAGAUUUUGAAUAUUUUAUAUGGCUCUGUCUGAUUUGAUGCCAGAACUCAUUGGGUAAUUCUACUAUUAUUCUCCUGGGAGUUAAAAACUGCUUUUUAUUUAUAUUCACUCUUCCUAAUCUUCGUCAGUACACAAAUGUGAUUGAAUAACAAGGCUCAACAGAAAUACGUGAAAGUAUUUCACUCUCUUUUAAAAUGUUUUAUGUUAACUAUUUUUCAUUUUGUGUACAACAAAUAUUUUUCUAAAAACUUUGGUUCUCAGACCCUUUGAGAAUCUGACAGGCUGUAGAUUCUCUUUCUAGAAAAAUACACACACAUAUAAGACAUUUUGUCCCGGCUCUUAAUUAUUGGUUAUUACUGGGUUAUAUUAAAUUCUUUAU